rnacentral:rRNA from 1 species
GACGAACGCUGGCGGCGUGCUUAACACAUGCAAGUCGAACGGAAAGGCCCUGCUUUUGUGGGGUGCUCGAGUGGCGAACGGGUGAGUAACACGUGAGUAACCUGCCCUUGACUUUGGGAUAACUUCAGGAAACUGGGGCUAAUACCGGAUAUGAGCUCCUGCUGCAUGGUGGGGGUUGGAAAGUUUCGGCGGUUGGGGAUGGACUCGCGGCUUAUCAGCUUGUUGGUGGGGUAGUGGCUUACCAAGGCUUUGACGGGUAGCCGGCCUGAGAGGGUGACCGGCCACAUUGGGACUGAGAUACGGCCCAGACUCCUACGGGAGGAAGCAGUGGGGAAUAUUGAACGAUGGGCGGAAGCCUGAUGCAGCAACGCCGCGUGCGGGAUGACGGCCUUAGGGUUGUAAACCGCUUUCGCCUGUGACGAAGCGUGAGUGACGGUAAUGGGUAAAGAAGCACCGGCUAACUACGUG